CUUCCUCCAUUAUCUCACUGCCUCCGGUGGCUGCUGGGAUACCGGAGGACUCGGGUCCCGGCUCGACUCAGUCCUCCAGCCGCCCGGGGAAUACCUCUAGUUCUUCCCGGCCGCCGCCGCCUCCGCCCCGCCGCUUCCUCCUCCGCCUGCCGGCCUCCUUCGCCCCGCCCCGUCCGCGCAGCUCGUCCGGCCCGCCCGCAGGCCAGCUUCUCUCGGGAGCCUCCACCCAGGCGCAUGGCUCCAUGAAGCAAGAGGAGGAGGCAGAGCGCGAGAGAUCCCGUCCGCCCCAGCCGCGUCUGGGCCAGGAGAAAAGCAAAACCAUAUUCCUGCUGCUGUCAGUUUUGAUGCACUGAGAAAACUUCAGAGACCUAAGCUUUUUCCAGAGAAGAGAAGCUUUACUGGUGUUCCAGCCCUAAGUCUCGCUCUGUCGCUCAGGCUGGAGUGCAAUGGCGCGAUCUCGGCUCACUGCAAGCUCCGCCUCCUGGGUUCACUCCAUUCUCCUGCCUCAGCCUCCGGAGUAGCUGGGACUACAGGCACCCGCCACCGCGCCCAGCUAAUUUUUUUUUUUUUUAGUAGAGACGCGGUUUCACCGUGUUAGCCAGGAUGGUCUCGAUCUCCUGACCUCGUGAUCCGCUCGUCUCGGCUUCCCAAAGUGCUGAGAUUACAGGCUUGCAGGCGUGAGCCACCGCGCCCGGCCGAGUUAAAGUACUUUUUCUGGAACAAAGAAACUUAGCAUAAAUAGUUAAAAUAUUAAGAGUUGUAAUUAAGGGAAAUUUCAGCUCAAUAUGACUUCAACAGUUUAAAAAAUGUAUUAUUUCACAUAAGACCAUGGAGAGAGGAAUUGGAAGCCCCAGAAUUGAUUGGGUCAGAAAUUGAAAAUGAUACUAUCAGUGACCCAGGUUUGAAUGUCUCUCUCCACAGCAUUGACUUCACUAAUGGAUGUGACCUGGUUGGCAGCAGUAGCUUGCACAACAUGCUUGUUUGCAGUGAGUAGUAGAGAGAAGGUUUUGCUUUCCCAGAAACUCUGAAAAAGGUCAUCAAACCUAAAUUUCCUUAGCCUUCUUCUUCCAUGAGCAAAUCACUAGCAGAUGAUUGCUAGCAAGGUGUUACUAUUACAAUGAACCCCUAAGUGUCAGAGAAAGAGUUAGUUUGGGGAAAUAUCCUCUCCACCACAAUCUUAGUCAUUGAAGUCAAUUUAACAAUAUAUUGAAAUAUUUUUCUUAGAAGUUUAAAGUUCCAUUAAAGAGUAACAAUUACAGAAAUUAUAGGUAGCCUUUAGUUCUACAAGUGACAUCUCAAAAGGGAGAUGAUUCAUCAAUUUCAAACUUUCCCUGCAAGUAAUACUGGAUGAAAAUUAACUUGGCCAACAUAAUUAAUAAUCAUGGGUUAUUAAUUACUUCUGCAAGGUGGGUGUGCUGAUUUUAAAAGGCUUGAAUAAAACAUAAAUUUCCUUAAUUUGAUACUGUAAAUGGAGUAAUUUGGUGAUGUAAAUGGUAAUAUGUAAGGGAUUUUUGCUUCAGAUCUUACAACUUAAAAUAUUUUUCUAAAAUUAGUUUUUGUACCAUCUCUCCAGCAUGUUCCAGCCUUUAUCAGUCAGUCCAGGCUUCUAUAACAAAAUAUCAUGGACUGAAUUGCUUACACAACAGACAUUUCUCACAAUUGUAGAAGCUGGAAAGUGCAAGAUUAAGGUGCUAGCAAAUUUGUUUCCUGGUGAGGGUCCUCUUCCGGGCUUGCUGUAUCCUCACAUAGCAGAUAGAGAGAGAAAGAGAGAGAGAGAGAGCACUCUAUAGACUCUCUUCCUGUUCUUAUAAGGACACUAAUUCCGUUGAUGAGGGCCCUAUGCUCAUGACUUUGUCUAAACCUAAUUAAUUCUCAAAGGCCUCACUUCCCAAUACUGUCACAUUGUGGGGUAGGGCUUUAACAUAUGAAAUUUGAGGGAAAAGGAAUGUUCAGUCUAGAACAAAGCCCCAUACAUUUCAAAAAGCUGUGGGACAGGAGGGAAUGGGGAUGGUAUUCAAUGGUACCACAUCCAAGCAAGUCUUGUAUGGUUAAAACAAAUCAAUAUAAUAACAUGAAAUUUUACACAGAAACCUAUCUGAUUAUAAACUGUAUGCUUACCAUAAUCAACACUGAUGUACAUUGUUUUAAAAAUACUUAAUAGUGUUCUUUGUUUAACCAAACAAUAGAGGUAUUAACUAGUUUCCUAGUGCUGCCAAAAGAAAUUGCUACAAAAUUUGUGGCUUAAAAUAGUAAAAAAAGAAAAAAAAUUCUCAAUUAUAGAGGCCAGAAGACCAAAAUCAAGGUGGAGGCAGAGCCAUACACCCUCUGACGGCUCUAGGGAAGAAUCCUUCCUUGCCUCUUCUAGAUUCUGUUGGCUCCUGGCACUCCUUGGCUUGUGACAGCAUAACUCCAACCUUAGUCUCUAUCUUCACAUGACCUUGCUUGUGUUUCUGUGUCCCAAAUACCCAUGACUCACUCUAAAUUCAGGAUGAUCUCACCCUGAGAUCUUUAUUAUAUCUGUAAAGCUCCUAUUUCAAAAUAAGGUGAUAUUUACAGGUACUGGAAUGGGAGAGGGUCUAGGACUCAGACGCACCCUUAUGAGGAUACUACAUGACCCAUUACAAGGCACAAAGUAAUUACCAUAGGCAAACCGCUGAUGAGAGCUCACUCCAGUUUGGAAUAUAUUCAUGUUUCCAUAUAAGAGAAAAAUUCAUCCCUGGUUCAGUUCAUCUUGGCAUCAGUACACGGAUGGGAUUCAGAGACAUGUAGGUGUGGAAUACCAGAUUCCACCAAACUUAAAAAGCUGGCAUACUAAGUUGAUAAAACGAUGUAGAGUGUGAAGUUGAGUUGAGAAUGCUUAUGCCAUACAGUUUAUGUAUCUUAUAAUAGCCUUAAUCACACUUCCAGUAAUUUUCCCUAUCAUUGGGUGCUAAAAAAUAAAAUUAAAGAAUUAGAAUAAAAAAUAUAUAUAUACCUCUUUGAGUGGAAGAAUGCUGUCAGCACAUUUUGUUAUUUUAUUCCAUUGUAUAAAGUCUCGGUAGUGCUCUCUUCAUAAAUGUGUUGAAGGUUUGGCUAAAUUGUAUCAAAUUUGUGAUUAAAUACAAAUGUGAAUAGUAUAAAACAUUACAAAGGACAAUCUGAAUACUAUGCUAUACCAAUUUUACAAUUUUACAAUGACUUACAGAUGCCAUAAAUAUUUACUUUAAGGGAGUAAAAUAAGUUAUAAAGUCAUAUUUAAGAACACCUAAAUCCUUGAAUAAAUUUAAAAUG
ensembl:lncRNA NUTM2A-AS1 NUTM2A antisense RNA 1